GUGGGGAAUAUUGGACAAUGGGGGGAACCCUGAUCCAGCCAUGCCGCGUGUGUGAAGAAGGCCUUUUGGUUGUAAAGCACUUUAAGCGAGGAGGAGGCUACCGAGAUUAAUACUCUUGGAUAGUGGACGUUACUCGCAGAAUAAGCACCGGCUAACUCUGUGCCAGCAGCCGCGGUAAUACAGAGGGUGCGAGCGUUAAUCGGAUUUACUGGGCGUAAAGCGUGCGUAGGCGGCUUUUUAAGUCGGAUGUGAAAUCCCUGAGCUUAACUUAGGAAUUGCAUUCGAUACUGGAAAGCUAGAGUAUGGGAGAGGAUGGUAGAAUUCCAGGUGUAGCGGUGAAAUGCGUAGAGAUCUGGAGGAAUACCGAUGGCGAAGGCAGCCAUCUGGCCUAAUACUGACGCUGAGGUACGAAAGCAUGGGGAGCAAACAGGAUUAGAAACCCUUGUAGUCC
rnacentral:rRNA from 1 species